UGGCUCCGGCUCCCGUGGGGUGUGGUUUUCCUCCCCACCCCUGCGCUGGUUUUGGAUGUUGUUAACUCCUUGAGUUAUUGAAACCUAACCGCUCUACCUUGCUUUCCGUGUACACCUAGGCUGUCUUCUCCGAGCCGUCUGUACCUCUAAGGGCCAUUCCUUGCCUCAAGUUGAGCGCCAGGUUCUGAAGCGCAAGGACAGGUGAAAGGUGAAUGAUUUGAUUUAUCCAGUUUAUACAAGAGGAGAAAGUGAGGUUCCCAGCAGCUACGAGCUGGAGUGCAAAGGUCGGACUCCAAGGACCCUCUGCCAGCUACGAGCCUGAGGUCCUCAACAUCCCUUUGGUGAGAACAGAACAUGGGCCGAGCUGCUGCAAGGCCUGUCCAGGUUCCACCCCCAGGACUUACUACCUGCAGGCAGGACCUUCUGGUUGCCUUCAGAGUGUGGGUCCCAGGUCCUCUCUGCUGCUCCCCACAGUAACGGGCUUCCUGGGAACCUGGAGGGAGCAGCUCCCUUGUCUUUGCUUUGCCUCAAAUGGUAACUUCAUGCGGUGACUGUUCCUGCCCAAGAGUUAGCCAACCCCCACCCAGAAUUUCCCAUUCCUCCAAUCCACCCUUUUCCUGCUGCUCCUUCCUUCACUGGUUGUAUCCAUCUUUAUGAAUGUCCUUUUUUUUUUUUUUUCGUUUGCUUGUUACCAUUUCUUUUCAAUAAUAAUAUUUUAUUUCUUUGAGAACUUCAUACAGCAUGUUUUGACCAUAUUUGUCAACUACCCAAUUCUUCCACAUCCACCCCCACCCCACCCUCUCUUUUCCCAUUAUGUCUAAUUACUGUUGCUACAUGUAUACACAUACAUAAAAAUGUAAGCAUAACUUGUUGAGUCCAUUUUGCGUUGUUGCUCAUAUGUAUAUGUUUUUAGGAGCGACCGUUUGGUACUGGCUAACUAAUUACAGGGCUCAUCCCUAGAGAAGACUGACUCUCCCUCUGCGUACCCACUAACGGCCUGUAGCUCUUCAUCUAGAGGAGAGCCUUCAUGGGAUCCCUCCAUCCAAGCUUGCUUCUCAACUGCUGUUACUGUUCAGGCCUCGUGUGGGCUACUACAUUGCUGAGAUCUCAUGAACGCAGCCUUCCUGCAAUACAGAAGACACAAUCUUGAAGCAGACACCUUGCUCCUCUGGCUCUUAAAAAUCUUCCCACCCCCUCUCUCCUUCGUGUUACCCGAGCCGUGUUGUGGAUGUAUCAGCCAGGGCUGGACACCCCAUCGUCAGUUGUUCUUUGCAUUGUGGUUGGUUGGUGGAUUUCUGUAAUGGUCUCUCUUCCCUCAAGAAGAAACUUCUUUGAUGAGAGGCAAGUUGUUGGCACACAGGCUCAGGAUUCAGAAACCCAAGAGCCAACCCAGAAGUCGUGAUCUUCCCACUCAUUUCUGACUCCCCACCCCCAGAUUUGAGGGCUCCCUGCAAUUUUGGAUCUCAUCCUGGUGUCUCUGAAGAAAAAUUCUCCAGGAUGCUGAGAAAAAAAAAAUACCUCUGCAUUGGCAAGGAACAUUCCUGAAGUAGCCACUGGUCACUUUUUCAGACUCCUUCUCCCACAGGUCAUGGGUCUGUCAUAUUUCCCCUGCCUUUUGCACCCUUUUGAUAGUUGGCAUCAUGCCUGAGUUUCUCCUGACUCCACAUCUUCGGCUGACUUAUCCACCCCACCCUACCUUCUUCCGGGGCAUCUGUAUAUCUCUGCUCUCUCAAACAUUAAAGGUUUCUCUGGGA